GACCUGGCCGGGCGGUCCUCCUCACGGUGCGUACUGUCUGGCCGGGCCUUACCUCUUGGUGAGCCGGCAUGCCCUUUACUGGGUGUGUCGGGGAACCAGGACUUUUACCUUGAGAAAAUUAGAGUGUUUAAAGCAGGCUAACGCUUGAAUACAUUAGCAUGGAAUAAUGAAAUAGGACGU
rnacentral:rRNA from 1 species